AGACCAGCCUGGCCAACAUGAUUCUACUCUAAAAGUCACCAGGAAAAAUUCAGCUCCACUGGUCCUGGCUCUAAGUCUACUAGCAAAAUCUUCCAGAGAAGUGGAAAAGCCAUCAGCCAAUGUGUCAGACUAUCAUUUCCAUGACCUUACACCUAUCAAAAAGGCACUAUUACCAGGCUUAUAGAAUUCUAAAAAAGCUGGAAACCA
rnacentral:lncRNA from 1 species